CUGGUAUGAUCCUGCCGGACCCCACUGCUAUCGGGAUGGGACUAAGACAUGCUAGUCGAGCGCCUUCCAGCCAUGUGGGAGGCGCGGCGCACAGCUCAGUAACACGUGGCUAACCUGCCCUUGGGACGGGACCACCCCCGGGAAACUGGGGCUAAUCCCCGAUAGGUGAAGAGCACUGGAAUGUGUCUUCGCCCAAAAGGCGUCAGAUCAUGCUUCUGGCGUUGCCCAAGGAUGGGGCCGCGACCGAUCAGGCUGUUGGUGAGGUAAUGGCCCACCAAACCUAUAACCGGUGCGGGCCGUGAGAGCGGGAGCCCGGAGAUGGGCACUGAGACAAGGGCCCAGGUCCUACGGGGCGCAGCAGUCGCGAAAACUUUGCAAUACACGAAAGUGUGACAGGGUCAUCCCGAGUGCCGACCGCUGAGGUUGGCUUUUACCCAGUCUAGAAAGCUGGGGGAAUAAGGAGAGGGCAAGUCUGGUGUCAGCCGCCGCGGUAAUACCAGCUCUCCGAGUGGUGUGGACGUUUAUUGGGCCUAAAGCAUCCGUAGCUGGCUGAACAAGUCCCCUGUUAAACCCACCGAUUUAAUCGUUGGCUUGCGGGGGAUACUGUUCGGCUAGGGGACGAGAGAGGCAGGCGGUAUUCCCGGGGUAGGGGUGAAAUCCUAUAAUCCCGAGAAGACCACCAGUGGCGAAGGCUGCCUGCUAGAACGCGCCCGACGGUGAGGGAUGAAAGCUGGGGGAGCGAACCGGAUUAGAUACCCGGGUAGUCCCAGCUGUAAACGAUGCAGACUAGGUGUUUGGACGGCCACGUGCCGUUCUAGUGCCGCAGGGAAGCUGUUAAGUCUGCCGCCUGGGGAGUACGAUCGCAAGAUUGAAACUUAAAGGAAUUGGCGGGGGAGCACCACAAGGGGUGAAGCUUGCGGUUUAAUUGGAUUCAACGCCGGA
rnacentral:rRNA from 1 species